rnacentral:misc_RNA from 1 species
AGCGUCAUUUGUACCCUCAAGCUUUGCUUGGUGUUGGGCGUCUUGUCUCUAGCUUUGCUGGAGACUCGCCUUAAAGUAAUUGGCAGCCGGCCUACUGGUUUCGGAGCGCAGCACAAGUCGCACUCUCUAUCAGCAAAGGUCUAGCAUCCAUUAAGCCUU